rnacentral:rRNA from 1 species
AUUGAACGCUGGCUGCAGGCCUAACACAUGCAAGUCGAACGAAUGGCGGACGGGUGAGUAAUGUCUGGGAAACUGCCUGAUGGAGGGGGAUAACUACUGGAAACGGUAGCUAAUACCGCAUACCAUCAGAUGUGCCCAGAUGGGAUUAGCGAGUUGGGGGGGUAACGGCACACCAAGGCGACGAGACCUACCUGGUCUGAGAGGAUGACCAGCCACACUGGAACUGAGACACGGUCCAGACUCCUACGGGAGGCAGCAGUGGGGAAUAUUGCACAAUGGGCGCAAGCCUGAUGCAGCCAUGCCGCGUGUAUGAAGAAGGCUUUCGGGUUGUAAAGUACUUUCAGCGGGGAGGCGUUACCCGCAGAAGAAGCACCGGCUAACUCCGUGCCAGCAGCCGCGGUAAUAC